CCCCGGAUUUUCUGUUUUAUUUCUUGUUGCCUUCGAAUAUCAAUGUCAUUUUCUCUUUCUUCUGGUUGUCAAAUGCUCAUUCCGCUUGAUACACUCUAAGCAGAUUGGACUCUCAAAUGUCCGCUAGUGACUCGUUCACACUUAAAAGUAAUGAUAAUGAAUUCUACAUAGGCUUGAUGGAAAAUACGAAGCUAAAUAAGCGGGCCAUGUAUUCACGACAGAGAACAAAUCAAAGAUGAUUCCACCCAAAGAGGAGAAGGGUAGAU
rnacentral:sRNA from 2 species